AUCAUUAACGAAUAUAAUUCGAGGGGUUGUCGCUGGCCUCGCUCGCGCGAGGCAUGUGCACGCUUCUCGUUUUUCUCUCAACUCACCUGUGCACCUAAUGUAGGAUGCCUCUCCUCCGGGAGGGGGGACCUAUGUCUUCGUAACAUCUUCGUGUAGAAAGUCUUUGAAUGUUUACUAUCAUCGAGUCGCGACUUCUAGGAGACGCGGUUCUUUGAGAUAAAAGUUAUUACAACUUUCAGCAACGGAUCUCUUGGCUCUCGCAUCGAUGAAGAACGCAGCGAAAAGCGAUAUGUAAUGUGAAUUGCAGAUCUACAGUGAAUCAUCGAAUCUUUGAACGCACCUUGCGCUCCUCGGUGUUCCGAGGAGCAUGCCUGUUUGAGUGUCAGUAAAUUCUCAACCCCUCUCGAUUAGCUUCGAGAGGGCGCUUGGAUAGUGGAGGUUGCCGGAGACUUGGAUUCGUCCGAGACUCGGGCUCUUCUGAAAUGCAUCGGCUUGCGGUCGACUUUCGACUAUGUGCGACAAGGCUUUCGGCGUGAUAAUGAUCGCCGUUCGCUGAAGCGCAUGACUGAACGUCCCGUGCCUCUAAUACGUCGACCGCUUAUUAUCUCUCCGGAGAGAACAGGGUCUUCCUUAUUGACUUUUGACCUCAAAUCAGGUAGGACUAC
rnacentral:rRNA from 1 species